rnacentral:rRNA from 1 species
UAGGGAAUCUUCCACAAUGGGCGAAAGCUUGAUGGAGCAACGCCGCGUGUGUGAUGAAGGGUUUCGGCUCGUAAACACUGUUGUAAGAGAAGAAUGACAUUGAGAGUAACUGUUCAAUGUGUGACGGUAUCUUACCAGAAAGGAACGGCUAAAUACGUGCCAG